rnacentral:lncRNA from 1 species
GUACCGCCUGCUGGAGGGGCCUGGAGGCAGCCCCUCAGAAGUCUUUGAGAUCGAUCCUCGCUCUGGGGUGAUCCGAACCCGCGGCCCCGUAGAUCGGGAAGAAGUGGAAUCCUACAAAUUGAUAGUGGAGGCGAGUGACCAGGGUCGGGACCCAGGCCCACGGAGCUCCACAGCUGUCGUCUUCCUGUCUGUGGAAGAUGAUAAUGACAACGCCCCCCAGUUU